rnacentral:RNase_P_RNA from 1 species
GGCUGCCGGGCGGUCGCAUGCUUCGGCAUGAGGAAAGUCCGAGCUCCACAGGGCAGGGUGCCGGAUAACGUCCGGCGGAGGCGACUCCAGGGAAAGUGCAACAGAAAGAAACCGCCGCGCCACGGCGCGGUAAGGAUGGAAAGGCGAGGUAAGAGCUCACCCGCGGCCUGGCGACUUGUCCGCGAUGUAAACCCCACCCGGUGCAAGAUUGGAAUGAGAGCGCAUAUGGCGGCCCGUCAUGCUCUCCGGAAUCGCUGGAGCCCGCCGGCAACGGCGGGCCUAGAUAGAUGACCGCUCAAGACAGAACUCGGCUUACAGACA